rnacentral:tRNA from 2 species
AGUCUUAUAUUCAAAUAUGAUUAUAAAUUGCAAAUUUAUAGGUGAAUAAAUUUCUAAGGCUU